UUCCGGUUGAUCCUGCCGGAGGCUACCGCUAUUGGAGUUCGAUUAAGCCAUGCGAGUCGCGAGUCCUAGGGACUCGGCGUACCGCUCAGUAACACGUGGGUAACCUGCCCUAUGCUGGGGGAUAACCUCGGGAAACUGAGAAUAAUACCCCAUAGUUCACCACGCCUGGAACGGUGGGUGGAUGAAAGCUCCGGCGGCAUAGGAUGGGCCUGCGGCGUAUCAGGUUGUAGGGGGUGUAAUGUACCCUCUAGCCAUCUACGCGUACGGGUGUUGAGAGACAUCGCCCGGAGAUGGAUUCUGAGACACGAAUCCAGACCCUACGGGGUGCAGCAGGCGCGAAAACUUGGCAAUGCGAGCAAUCGUGACCAGGGAACUCCAAGUGCAUCGGGUAAGACCGAUGCUUUUCUUGACUCUUCAAAGGUCUUGGAAUAAGGGGUGGGUAAGGACGGUGCCAGCCGCCGCGGUAAUACCGGCGCCUCAAGUGGUAGUCGCUUUUAUUGGGCCUAAAACGUCCGUAGCCGGUUUGGUACAUUCGUGGGUAAAUCAAGGCGCUCAACGUCUUGAAUUCUGCGAGCACGGCCAGACUUGGGACCGGGUGAGGUGUGGGGUACUCUCAGGGUAGGGGUAAAAUCCUGUCAUCCUGAGAGGACCACCUGUUGCGAAGGCGCCACACUAGAACGGAUCCGACGGUCAGGGACGAAGCCUAGGGGCACGAACCGGAUUAGAUACCCGGGUAGUCCUAGGUGUAAACGCUGUGGACUUGAUGUUGGGAGUGCUCCGAGCACCCUCAGUGUCGAAGCGAAGGUGAUAAGUCCACUGCCUGGGGAGUACGGUCGCAAGGCUGAAACUUAAAGGAAUUGGCGGGGGAGCACUGCAACCUGAGGAUUGUGCGGUUUAAUUGGAUUCAACGCCGG
rnacentral:rRNA from 1 species